UACGUAGGGACCAAGCGUUGUUCGGAUUUACUGGGCGUAAAGGGCGCGUAGGCGGCGAAUCAAGUCAGCUGUGAAAUCUCCGAGCUUAACUCGGAACGGUCAGCUGAUACUGUUUUGCUAGAGUGCAGAAAGGGCAACCGGAAUUCCUGGUGUAGCAGUGAAAUGCGCAGAUAUCAGGAGGAACACCGAUUGCGAAGGCAGCUCGCUGGGACGUUACUGACGCUGAGACGCGAAAGCGUGGGGAGCAAACAGG
rnacentral:rRNA from 1 species